AUUGAACGCUGGCGGAAUGCUUUACACAUGCAAGUCGAGCGGCAGCGCGGGGCAACCUGGCGGCGAGCGGCGAACGGGUGAGUAAUACAUCGGAACGUGCCCAGACGUGGGGGAUAACUACUCGAAAGAGUGGCUAAUACCGCAUACGAUCUGAGGAUGAAAGCGGGGGAUCGCAAGACCUCGCGCGUCUGGAGCGGCCGAGGGCAGAUCAGGUAGUUGGUGAGGUAAAGGCUUACCAAGCCUGCGAUCUGUAGCUGGUCUGAGAGGAUGAUCAGCCACACUGGGACUGAGACACGGCCCAGACUCCUACGGGAGGCAGCAGUGGGGAAUUUUGGACAAUGGGCGAAAGCCUGAUCCAGCCAUUCCGCGUGCAGGAUGAAGGCCCUCGGGUUGUAAACUGCUUUUGUACGGAACGAAAAAGCUCCGGCUAAUACCUGGAGUCCAUGACGGUACCGUAAGAAUAAGCACCGGCUAACUACGUGCCAGCAGCCGCCGUAA
rnacentral:rRNA from 1 species